GAUGAACGCUGGCGGCGUGCCUAAUACAUGCAAGUCGAGCGAACGGACGAGAAGCUUGCUUCUCUGAUGUUAGCGGCGGACGGGUGAGUAACACGUGGAUAACCUACCUAUAAGACUGGGAUAACUUCGGGAAACCGGAGCUAAUACCGGAUAAUAUUUUGAACCGCAUGGUUCAAAAGUGAAAGACGGUCUUGCUGUCACUUAUAGAUGGAUCCGCGCUGCAUUAGCUAGUUGGUAAGGUAACGGCUUACCAAGGCAACGAUGCAUAGCCGACCUGAGAGGGUGAUCGGCCACACUGGAACUGAGACACUGUCCAGACUCCUACGGGAGGCAGCAGUAGGGAAUCUUCCGCAAUGGGCGAAAGCCUGACGAAGCAACGCCGCGUGAGUGAUGAAGGUCUUCGGAUCGUAAAACUCUGUUAUUAGGGAAGAACAUAUGUGUAAGUAACUGUGCACAUCUUGACGGUACCUAAUCAGAAAGCCACGGCUAACUACGUG
rnacentral:rRNA from 1 species